ACACAAAAAUGCACAUAUUGUGAGCUUGAUGAGUAGGGCGGGACACGUGGUAUCCUGUCUGAAUAUGGGGGGACCAUCCUCCAAGGCUAAAUACUCCUGACUGACCGAUAGUGAACCAGUACCGUGAGGGAAAGGCGAAAAGAACCCCGGCGAGGGGAGUGAAAAAGAACCUGAAACCGUGUACGUACAAGCAGUGGGAGCACGCUUAGGCGUGUGACUGCGUACCUUUUGUAUAAUGGGUCAGCGACUUAUAUUCUGUAGCAAGGUUAACCGAAUAGGGGAGCCGAAGGGAAACCGAGUCUUAACUGGGCGUUAAGUUGCAGGGUAUAGACCCGAAACCCGGUGAUCUAGCCAUGGGCAGGUUGAAGGUUGGGUAACACUAACUGGAGGACCGAACCGACUAAUGUUGAAAAAUUAGCGGAUGACUUGUGGCUGGGGGUGAAAGGCCAAUCAAACCGGGAGAUAGCUGGUUCUCCCCGAAAGCUAUUUAGGUAGCGCCUCGUGAAUUCAUCUCCGGGGGUAGAGCACUGUUUCGGCAAGGGGGUCAUCCCGACUUACCAACCCGAUGCAAACUGCGAAUACCGGAGAAUGUUAUCACGGGAGACACACGGCGGGUGCUAACGUCCGUCGUGAAGAGGGAAACAACCCAGACCGCCAGCUAAGGUCCCAAAGUCAUGGUUAAGUGGGAAACGAUGUGGGAAGGCCCAGACAGCCAGGAUGUUGGCUUAGAAGCAGCCAUCAUUUAAAGAAAGCGUAAUAGCUCACUGGUCGAGUCGGCCUGCGCGGAAGAUGUAACGGGGCUAAACCAUGCACCGAAGCUGCGGCAGCGACGCUUAUGC
rnacentral:rRNA from 1 species